UAGGCUGCAGAGAUCCUCCUGCCUUAGCCCCCUGAGUGCUGGAGCUACAGAAAAGCAGGGUACAGACGAUCGCUUCAGUGGAGAAAGAAGCUCUCUAAAUGAAGAUAGCAAGUGGUGAAGCAGAGUGAUUCUGACAUCUGCUAACUAGAUAAGUACACCGACUCCACCAGCUCAUUGCUGUGCUUUCAUUCUACCCUGUGGAAUCCCUUUUAGCCAAUCCUUGAUCAAAUAAUGAACCUAUUGCAGAAAUAAAGGGGAAGCACGUCCAUCACUACCUCCCUAACUCAGAAAAAUCAAGCUUUUUUCUGUUCUACACUGUUUCCUGUCAUGCGUAAUAUAGCAAAUUAAUUAGUGGAUCUGGCGGCAUUUGCUAAUACAAUUCCUCUCCCUUGCUUGAGGUGAAUUAUGUUCAUGCUUCAGUCACUUGAAUAUUACUCUUCCAUGUUUGACGGAAUUUUGUUAUCAGGUGACUAUAUUGCACACUAUCUGAUUCUAAUUAAACCAGAAAAUAGUGACAUUGUACAAGAGGAGAAUGUUUCACAGUGUGCACCACCCACCCCCUUGUCGCUACAUCCCAGUUUUUAGAGCUUUUUGAGCUGUGCUUGGGCUAUUUUCUUAUGUUUACAUCGUCUUACGCUUCUCCAGACACAAUGGCUUCUUGGGCAUUGCCUUCAUCUACUAGGUAAUUUGUAUAAAUUGAGUCCUGGAAGACAUAAUGUUUACACUUGUCUUUUUUUUUAAUCAGAAGCAUAAUGCACAGUAGCAAACUGUGAGUAUUUCAGAUGAUAUGAAAGAAGAAAAUGUGCUGUUUUGCCAAAAUCAUUCAUGUAACUUGGAAAGAAAAGUUUCUGAGAGAAGAAAAACUAACAUUUUAGAGGGGAAACGGAGAAAUGGGCUAUAAAGAUGAAUUGGGGAAGCAAUGUAAUGUAGAGGUUAAGAUCACAGGCUUGUAGUGCAGGGCUUGACUUCUGGUUCUGUCUUUAUCUGACACUAUUUCUUUCUCCUUACACAAUAAUAAGUGCUCAGGAGUUGAUUUGCCGAAGGUCUAAUGAUGAGGUAGUAAAAGAACCAGGGCUGGGGCUCCCAUUCCAGUUUUCCUUUUUUUCUAUACCCUGUUAAAUGCCAAGCCCUGAUUCUGCCAGGGUGGAGAGUGAAGGGGAGUCUCUGGAGUCAUCAAUUACAGCAGGUCACUGGGUAUCAGAGUCUCUUUUCUCAUGAGGAUAAAGAUGUCCUUUUGAGUUAGACUAUAUUCACCCUUCAUGAACCUUGGGGACAUUGAUGGCAGGGAGAGUUUUCUAAAGCUUUAGACAACUCAGAGGUGAAAUAGGCACCAUGCUGCAAAUGAAAGGCACUUUUAUGGUUGUCUGAAAAAAAUACAGCACACUGCUUUAAACUUAGAAAGCCCAAGUGCAAGCUACAGUCAGGUGUGGUCUGCAGGCUUUGGUCUUUUGUCCCUGUUCAACAGCUGGUAAAGCUGGGAGAGGUAAUCGCUGAUGGAGACUUGCUCCUGUUGGGAUAAUAUUUCUCAGACCAUAGUCCUGCCAUUUUCCAGACUUUUUCUUUUGGAGAAAUGGGCUCCUACCUUGGAAGAGCCAAUUAUGUAAUUCAGGUUGAACCUGGCUCUUUUUUUUCCCACUGAUCUCUAUCUUCCUUGGUGAAGACCACUUGGCCUCCGCCUCCCUGUUAGAUAUUAUUCUUGGCCUAUGUAAGCAGUGGAAAGCCUGAAUUUUGCCCAGGCUUUGGGCAAGAUGAAAUGACACCUUCUGGGUUGGUGGAAGGAAAGGGCUAUUUCUUUGGGCUACUUGAAGGACCCAGAAAGCAAAAGAAAAAUCAUGUCUUUCUUUGCAGAAUUUCUGCUGUGGAAAGAGGCAAAGUCAAUCAAGAGACAGAGAUCCUUGACACAUAUGUAUUGAAUAUCUACUAUAUUGCAGGUCAUAUUCUGGGUGCUGGGGAGAUAUCUGAACAAAACAGACAAAAAUCCCUGCCAUGAGGAACAAGGAAUAGGUGUUUAAUAUGGUCUGUAGAAAAAGUACGGGAAUAAAAGUCCCAAACCUGGCCUUUUUACUAGUUUAUAGUCUAGUGGGGAGAAAUAGACUUAAGAAACAACAAAAAGAGGAACGUAUAUAGUAUAUUGGAAGGUGAUAAGUUUAAUGAAGUAAAUUAAGCAAAGGAAAUAGAUAGCAAAAGCAGAGAAGAAAUGGAGGAGGUUUCUAUUUAAAACAGGGAGGUCAGAGAAGGCUUUCUGCAACAGAAGAAUUUUGAGCAAAGACUUGAAGAGGCAAGAGAGUGAACCAUGUAGAUAUCUGUGGGAAGAACAUUACGGGAAGCAAACUCAGCAAGUGGAGAAUUCCCAGUAUGUUUUAGGAAGAGCAACAAGGCCAAGUGUGGUGGGACUAGAGAGAGAGAGCGAGUACGGGAGAGUGGUGAGAAAUGAGGUCGUCUUCAAUGAUUGUAGUUUGCUUAACUUGUGGCUGCUGGCUAGACAGGAUGAAGUAGUUUGAGUUGUUUAAGAAGGACUUACUAGGUAUGUGGGAUCAGACUAGUGCUAGGCUAGACCCCAGGACAGGAAAGAUGACUGCAUUCAAGGACCAAGUAGUUCAGUUCAAGAUUGAAUAUUGGCCUGUAUGGAAACUUAGAAAACAGUGAGGCUCAGGUGUGUUAUAUAUAGAUAUCUGAAAGAAGAGAGAAGGUUGUAGAGGACUGGAUUGGAUAUAAGGCUCUGGAGGCAGACUGCCUGGGUAUGAAUCGUAGCUCCAUUACUUAUUACUGGUGUGAUCUUGGGAAAACCACUUCACCGUCUGAGGAUCAGUGUUUACAUCUAUAAAAUGGAGUUCACAAUGGAAGGUACAUUGCAGGGGUGUGUGAGGAUUUAAGACAGCACAUGUUUAGCAAGUGCCAUGUACAUAGUAAGCCCUCAGUAAAUAUGAGCUGACAUUCUUAUUAUUCAUUGAGGUGGUUAGAGAAGGAUUCUGUAAAGCUUGAAACCAUGGAGUUAGUGAUGUGCCAUGGACUGAACUCAAGGGAAUUUCUACUAGACUGCCCUUAACUUCUCUUAGAUGGUGCUUGGAUAGAUUGCAUGUGACUGAAAUAGUUUUUUGGUGCUGGAAGCAUCAUAAGGAGAUAGGACCAGCGGAUUAGAAAUAAAGGGGUGAUGGUUGUGCCUUUACCAACAGUGUGUUGCUAUGGAGAAGAAGGCCCUCAAGGAAAAAGAGGAAAAUGUGAUCAAAUACAUCAGCAUGGGGUUGAACAAGAGCAGUGAGGACAAUGUUCAUAGUUGACUGACUAGAGUAGUGUCAAUAAGAAUGGCAAUUUAUUGAGCAUUUGCACAUGUCAUCUCACGUAGGGCUUACCGUAGUCCUAUAAGGUGGGUACUCAUAUUAUCUUUGUUUUGCCACAGAGGAAGUGAAGGCUUACAGAAGUGAAGUGAUAUGCUAAAGGUCACACAGCUAGUAAGAGGCAUAUCUGGGACUCAGCUCAAGGGAGUUUCCAUUAGACUGCCCUUAACUUCUCUUAGAUGGUGCUUAUAUGGCUUGCAUGUGACUGAAGUAGAUUUUUGGUGCUAGGGGCAUCAUAAAGAGAGAGGUCUAGCAGAUUGGAAACAAAGGGAUAAUGGUUGUGCCUUUACUAACAGUGCAUUGAGCUAUGCUCAUUUAUGUUCUUAUGAUCUCUUAGAAACAGAGACUUGGUUCUUUCCUGUCUUAAGAAGGAAAAUCUGACUGCGGGGUAUGGCCAUCCCCUAAAAUAUCAAAAAGACAUCUAUUUCCAUUUUCUUCCUCCUAAUACCUAGGAGACAACAAAGUGGAUUUCCAGUGGUACUUCCCACAUGAGUAGAAUGAACUUUCCUUGGUAAAAGUUGACUUUCUUACUAAAGGACAAAAUAUAUAGGCUCCUCAAUUUGAGCCAUGGGAUUUGGUGGGCAGCUGGACUGAGCCCAAAGACAUCCCCACAGGGAGGCAAAACUGGCUGGUAUAUGUGGAAAGAGUGAGUGGCUCAGGGAAUAGAUGCUGUGAGCCAGGUUGUGAAUUUCCAGAGCCCAGGGAUUAGAGCCACUUGACAUUCACUUUAGGUGAACUGUGUUGUCUUACAUCCUAUUUUUCAUGAAUACUUUUAAAAUUUUUAUUUUUUUCUUUUAAUUUUUUUGACACAGAGUCUCUUUCUGUCACUCAGGCUGGAGUGUGGUGGUGCUGUCUCCACUCACUACAACCUCUGCCUCCUGGGCUCAAGGGAUUCUUGUGCCUCAGUCUGCUGAGCAUCUGGGACUACAGGCAUGCACCACCAUGGCCAGCUAUUUUUUUUUUUUUUUGUAUUUUUAGUACAGACUGGGUUUUACUGUGUUGGCCAGGCUGGUCUCGAACUCCUGGCCUCAAGUGAUCUGCCCACCUUGGCCUCCCAAAGUGCUGAGAUUACAGGUGUGAGCCACCAUGCCCAGUCUUUCGUGAAUACUUUUGAUGUAUGGAGUAACUCAUAAAUUUUUAAAAAAUAUUUCAAAUUCCUAACUCUUCUUGAAACAAUAGGUAUUAUGGGUGGCUAGUUUAUUUCUUUUCAGUUAAUGAUUGAAUUCAUUGAGCCCUUACUAGGUGGUGAGCACUGUCCGAGGUGCUGAAGGAAGAGACAAAGAUAGGAUUACUGUAUCUCAG
rnacentral:lncRNA from 1 species